UACGUAUGGUGCAAGCGUUAUCCGGAUUUACUGGGUGUAAAGGGAGCGUAGGCGGCGCGUUAAGUCUGAUGUGAAAACCCGAGGCUCAACCACGGGAGUGCAUUGGAAACUGGCGUGCUGGAGUGCCGGAGAGGUAAGCGGAAUUCCUAGUGUAGCGGUGAAAUGCGUAGACAUUAGGAGGAACACCAGUGGCGAAGGCGGCUUACUGGACGGCAACUGACGCUGAGGCUCGAAAGCGUGGGGAGCAAACAGG
rnacentral:rRNA from 1 species